CGCGUAGGCGGCCCGGUAAGUCCGCUGUGAAAGUCAAAGGCUCAACCUUUGAAUGUCAGCGGAUACUGCCAGGCUAGAGUCCGGAAGAGGCGAGUGGAAUUCCUGGUGUAGCGGUGGAAUGCGCAGAUAUCAGGAGGAACACCAACGGCGAAGGCAGCUCGCUGGGACGGUACUGACGCUGAGGCGCGAAAGCGUGGGGAGCGAACA
rnacentral:rRNA from 1 species